GGGCGCCUAGCUCAGCUGGUUAGAGCGCAGCCUUCACACGGCUGAGGUCGUGGGUUCGAGUCCCGCGGCGCCCA
rnacentral:tRNA from 1 species